rnacentral:rRNA from 1 species
AUGGGGAAGAGGAAGGCCAAGAAACCCGCCGCGAGGCCCCGCAGCGGCGCGGGUGGGAGCGUGCCGCGGCCGGUGAGCGAGGGCGAGACCGAGACCGAGCCCGAGCCCGUCGGCGAGGAGGGCGACUUCUGCUUCGUCUGCAAGGACGGCGGCCACCUCCGCCUCUGCGACUACAGGAACUGCAACAAGGCUUACCAUCCUAAGUGCGUGGAAAAGGAUGACGAUUUCCUCAAUUCAGACGAGAACUUCAUCUGCGGUUGGCACACAUGCUGUAUCUGCAAAGGGCGUUCAUACUAUCGGUGCCUGUGCUGUCCGGUUAAAUCGGUUUGUUGUGGUUGCCGGAUAGAAGCAGAUUUUGUCCAAGUCGGAAGAAGGCAAACAAAGGGAUUAUGCGCUAACUGUCUAAGGCUGGGAAUCAUGAUUGAGAAUAAUAUCGAAAUCGACUCUGAUGGGGAGAGGGUUGAUUUCAGUGACAGGUCAACUGUUGAAUUUUUGUUUAAGGAAUACUGGGAGAUAAUUAUAAAGAAAGAGGGCUUAACACUGGAUAACCUUCAAGAAGCUUAUGCUAGUUUAAAUGAUGGCCCGGAUCAAAUUUCAGAUUCUGAGAAUUUUCCUAAAGUACAGGACAGCUCAGAUGAUGAUUUCUUGGGCAAUAGUGAUGGUGGAGAUGCUGAUCCAAUUUGCCCAUCUAAUUUAAAUGGAACAUCAAAUAAAGUGAAACCCUUUCUGAAGCAUGCAAAAUCAAAGAAGAAUGUCUAUGUUGGCUGGGGUUCAAAAGAGCUGAUUGGAUUCCUUGAAUCAAUAGGCAAAGAUACAUCCAAAUCUCUAGAUCAAUUUGGUGCUGCUGAAGUUGUCAAGGAGUACAUUCGACAGAAGGAUCUUUCGCACAAAGAUAAGAAAAAGCAUGUCAUAUGUGAUGAGAAACUCAAGCAAUUGUUUAGGAAAUCAAAGGUUAAGUACAACAAGAUAUAUAGCUUGCUCGAGAGGCAUAUUGCUGCAAAUGACACAUCUGAGGAUGAAACAUUUGCCAGUUCUGAGGAUAACAGUGAUUCAUGUAUGAAAAAGAGAACUCGGACCAUGACCUCUGAGGUCACUACUUCGAAAGGGACUUCUGAAAGAAACAAGAGAUGCUUUGCUUCUCUUGUUUGUGACAACAUUAAGUUGAUCUAUUUGAAGAAAUCCUUAGUUAUUGAUCUGCUAAAGCAGCCUGAGGCAUUUGAAAAUAAAGUUAUUGGUUGUUUUGUUAGAGUAAAGAAUGACCCCAAAGACUAUAGUUACUACAAGCCUAAAGCAUUCUACCAGCUUGGACAAGUAACUGGCAUUAGGAAAUCCUCAGAAGAAUACAAGGUAAAGGACAUGUCUACAGAUAUGCUUUUGUGUGUUUCCAGCUGCUGGUCUGAAGUCAAAAUUUCCAGGUUAUCAGAUGAAGAUUUUGGGGAGGACGAAUGCGAAGAUUUUCGUCUGUUCGUCCAGAAAGAACACUCUAAAAGGCUCACUGUUGCUGAGCUUGAGGAAAAAGCGAGAAGUGUACACAGAGAUAUAGUCACUCAUUGGAUCGAUAAAGAACUUAAGAGACUGGACAAUUUAAUUGAAUUGGCCAAUGAAAAAGGUUGGCGCUACGAGAAGCUCGAGUACAUCGAUAAGAGACAGCUAUUGCGCUCGCCAUCCGAAAGACAACGUCUUCUUGAAGAGGUCCCUCGAGUUAUUCCAGAUCUGGAAGAUAAUAAAGACACAGAAUUAUUAGUCGCAGCAUCAGAGAAGUCUUUUCAGAAGAAUACAGCUACUUUACAAGGUGCCAGUGGGGACAGAGCUGUUUGCUCGGAAAGAUACUCAGAAGAAUCUAAAGGCGCCAAUGGGGAGAAAGCUGUUCGUUUGACACGUUGCUCAAAAGAAAAGCCUAGAGGGGCCAAUGCGAGAGCUGUUUGCUUGAGAAGUUGCUCAGACGGCAAAUAUAAAGGUGCCAAUGAGGAGAUAGCUGUUUGCUUGAGAAGUUGGCCGGAAAACAAAUAUGAAGGUGCCAAUGACAAGAGAGCUGUUUGCUUGAAAAGUUACUCAGAAGGUGAAGCUGCUCACAUGAAAAGUUUCUCUGAAGAAAAAACUAAAGGUGCCAGUGAGGACAGAGCUGUUUCCUUAGAAAGUUUCCCGGAAGAAAAUUCUAAAGGUGCCAAUGAGGAAGCUGCUUACCUGAAAAGUUGCUCUGAAGAAAAACCUGAAGGUGCCAACGACGGCAGAGCUGUUUCCUUAUCCUUAAAAAGUUGCCCAGAAGAAAAUUCUAAAGCUACUGAAGGUGACACUGAUACACCGAAAAUGCAUGUUCAAAAUCAGGGCACUGCAGACACUAAAUCCAAUGCUGCUGGCGAUACACCUAGUGCAAAUGUCCAAAGCCAGAGUACUCAGGGUAGUGAAGAGAAUGCUGCUGGUGAUAAACUGGGAGCAAGUGUCCAGAAGCAGGGGGCUGAAGCCAAUGCAGCUGGCAUCCCAGCUGAAGUAAUCAACAUUGAUGACGACGAAGAUGGUCGGUCGCAGGAUCAAGGUGCAAACGUGGUUGUUGUUGAUAUGGAUGCUGAUGAGUCUGGGAAUACUCAUGUGGCGCAACGCAAGACAAGGCGGUCGGGCAUGUGGCAUUACAGGGAUCCUUUUGGUGACGAGCAAGGCCCGUUCUUUCUAGAUCUGUUGGAUGGUUGGAACAAACAAGGCUACUUCGACGACGACUUCAGGGUCUGGAGAGCCGGUCAGUCUAGCGACUCUGCCAUUUUGCUCAAGGAUGCUCUGCGCCUGAAGCGCUGA